rnacentral:rRNA from 1 species
UAUUCGGGGAGGACAGGUGGUGCAUGGUUGUCGUCAGCUCGUGUCGUGAGAUGUUGGGUUAAGUCCCGCAACGAGCGCAACCCCUAUUGCUAGUUACCAUCAUUAAGUUGGGGACUCUAGCGAGACUGCCAGUGAUAAACUGGAGGAAGGUGGGGAUGACGUCAAAUCAUCAUGCCCCUUAUGACCUGGGCUACAAACGUGAUACAAUGGCUGGAACAAAGGGAUGCGAAGCAGUGAUGUGGAGCGAAACCCAUAAAAACAGUCUCAGUUCGGAUUGAAGUCUGCAACUCGACUUCAUGAAGUCGGAAUCGCUAGUAAUCGCGGAUCAGAACGCCGCGGUGAAUACGUUCUCGGGGUUU